rnacentral:lncRNA from 1 species
UCAAUUGCCUCUAUGGAUGGAUGAAUGGGGGACCAUUCUCUGACCACUAGAUAAUGAUCAUAAAUGAGACAUAGUCCCUCAGUCAUGGCCUUUUUCUUUAUCCUCUUCAUUAGAGAAAGAAACCAAGAAAUAGUCAUUGCCCAAGUCAAUGAUAUGAAUAACCCCUGGAAAGAAACCAAGCCUUGUCUCCAAAGCUUUGUAGCCUAUCUUUCUAUAUGCCUUUGUUCCACACGAAUUUCACCCACUUCAUCUUCAGACUUGUCAUCACUCCCUAUCUUUGUCUCCAUUCCAUAAUCACUAACAACACUCAGAUCAUCCUUAUUUCUGCAGUGCCC